rnacentral:rRNA from 1 species
ACUUACUAAAAUUAUUUUUAAAUAAAAUUACACGAAAGUAGAUGAGCUAAAUAUUGUUAUAUAAUAGAAUUUUAGUUUUACGUGGUAUAGUAAUAGUAAAAACUAUAUUUAGGAAUGAUAGGUCUAUCAAAUUUAUUGAUAACUUGUUGUGUAAGAAAUAUAUUAAGUAUUAUAGCAGACUAUAAAAGUUAAGCUUUAUAGUAGAUAUUAAUCUAUUUAAUUUAUUUUAUUUAAGUUUAAUAGCUAAAUAGCUAAUAAAUUAAUAUAAAUUAAUUAUAAUUGUAUAAUUUAUUACACUUUAACCAUUUUGAUUAAAAUAGAUAAUGUAAGUAUUAGUAAUUAAAUAAAAUAUAUUUAAGGAACUCGGCAAAAAAAAUGCUCAACUGUUUAUCAAAAACAUAACUAUAUGUUUUUAUAUAUAGCUAUUUCUGCUCAAUGAUAUAUUAAAUAGCCGCAGUACUCUGACUGUGCAAAGGUAGCAUAAUCAAUUGGCUUUUAAUUAAAGUCUAGUAUGAAUGAAAUCAUGGGUAAUAGCUGUCUAAAUAUAAUUUUAGGAAUUUAGUAUGCAAGUGAAAAUACUUGCUUUUUAUAAAAGACGAGAAGACCCUAGAAACUUGUGAUGUAUUUUGUUGGGGCGACAGAAUUACAUAUAACUAAUUUUUAUUUACAUGACGUAAAGCUGAUAGAUUAAGUUACUCUAGGGAUAACAGCAUAAUUUUAAUAGUUUGUGACCUCGAUGUUGGACUAGGUACAGUACUCUUUAGAAGAGAGUUGAUAUGCUCUGUUCGAGCAGGACUACCUACAUGAUCUGAGUUCAGACCGG